rnacentral:tRNA from 1 species
GUGGGUGUAGCUCAGUUGGUUUAGAGCGCCAGUUUGUGGUACUGGAGGUCGCGGGUUCGAUUCCCGUCACCCACCCCA